GCAAGUCGAACGAGGUCCGUGAGAGCUUGCUCUCAGAAGACCGAGUGGCGAACGGGUGAGUAACACGUGAACAACCUGCCCUGGAAUCUGGGAUAACCCGAGGAAACUCGGGCUAAUACCGGAUACCUUCCUCUGAUCGCAUGGUCGGAGGAAGAAAGAAUUUCGUUCCAGGAGGGGUUCGCGGCCUAUCAGCUUGUUGGCGGGGUAACGGCCCACCAAGGCAGCGACGGGUAGCUGGUUUGAGAGAACGAUCAGCCACACUGGGACUGAGACACGGCCCAGACUCCUACGGGAGGCAGCAGUGGGGAAUCUUGCGCAAUGGGCGAAAGCCUGACGCAGCAACGCCGCGUGCGGGAUGACGGCCUUCGGGUUGUAAACCGCUUUCAGCAGGGACGAAAAUGACGGUACCUGCAGAAGAAGCCCCGGCUAACUACGUGCCAGCAGCCGCGGUAAUACGUAGGGGGCAAGCGUUGUCCGGAUUUAUUGGGCGUAAAGAGCUCGUAGGCGGUUCCGUAAGUCGUGAAGUCAAAUCUCUGGGCUCAACCCAGAAUCGCUUCCGAUACUGCGGUGACUGGAGUCCGGUAGGGGAGUGUGGAAUUCCUGGUGUAGCGGUGAAAUGCGCAGAUAUCAGGAGGAACACCAACAGCGAAGGCAGCACUCUGGGCCGGUACUGACGCUGAGGAGCGAAAGCGUGGGGAGCGAACAGGAUUAGAUACCCUGGUAGUCCACGCCGUAAACGUUGGGCACU
rnacentral:rRNA from 1 species